AGAGUUUCAUUCUGGCUCAGGAUAAACGCUGGCGGCGCACAUAAGACAUGCAAGUCGAACGAACUUAAUCGUUAGUUUACUAAUGAAGCGGUUAGUGGCGGACUGGUGAGUAACACGUAAGCAACCUGCCUAUUAGAGGGGAACAACAGUUAGAAAUGACUGCUAAUACCGCAUAUGCCAUAAGUAUCGCAUGAUACAAGUGGGAAAGGAGCAAUCCGCUAAUAGAUGGGCUUGCGUCUGAUUAGAUAGUUGGUGGGGUAACGGCCUACCAAGUCGACGAUCAGUAGCCGAGUUGAGAGACUCUACGGCCACAUUGGGACUGAGAUACGGCCCAGACUCCUACGGGAGGCAGCAGUCGGGAAUACUGCGCAAUGGAGGAAACUCUGACGCAGUGACGCCGCGUGCAGGAAGAAGGUUUUCGGAUUGUAAACUGCUUUAGACAGGGAAGAAAAAGACAGUACCUGUAGAAUAAGCUCCGGCUAACUACGUGCCAGCAACCGCGGUAAUACGUAGGGAGCAAGCGUUAUCCGGAUUUAUUGGGUGUAAAGGGUGCGUAGACGGGAAAAUAAGUUAGUUGUGAAAUCCCCAUGCUUAACAUGGGAACUGCAACUAAAACUGUUUUUCUUGAGUGCUGGAGAGGAAAGUGGAAUUCCUAGUGUAGCGGUGAAAUGCGUAGAUAUUAGGAGGAACACCAGUGGCGAAGGCGACUUUCUGGACAGUAACUGACGUUGAGGCACGAAAGUGUGGGGAGCAAACAGGAUUAGAUACCCUGGUAGUCCACACCGUAAACGAU
rnacentral:rRNA from 1 species